rnacentral:rRNA from 1 species
CACGUAGGGCGCAAGCGUUGUCCGGAAUUAUUGGGCGUAAAGAGCUCGUAGGCGGUCUGUUGCGUCUGCUGUGAAAACUCGGGGCUUAACCCCGAGCCUGCAGUGGAUACGGGCAGACUAGAGGUAGGUAGGGGAGAAUGGAAUUCCCGGUGUAGCGGUGAAAUGCGCAGAUAUCGGGAGGAACACCGGUGGCGAAGGCGGUUCUCUGGGCCUUACCUGACGCUCAUGCACGAAAGCGUGGGGAGCAAACAGG